GACACUAGGCAUGUGAGUGAUU
rnacentral:miRNA from 1 species